AUUGAACGCUGGCGGCAUGCCUUACACAUGCAAGUCGAACGGUAACGGGCCUUCGGGUGCCGACGAGUGGCGAACGGGUGAGUAAUACAUCGGAACGUGCCCGAUCGUGGGGGAUAACGAGGCGAAAGCUUUGCUAAUACCGCAUACGAUCUACGGAUGAAAGCAGGGGACCGCAAGGCCUUGCGCGGACGGAGCGGCCGAUGGCAGAUUAGGUAGUUGGUGGGAUAAAAGCUUACCAAGCCGACGAUCUGUAGCUGGUCUGAGAGGAUGAUCAGCCACACUGGGACUGAGACACGGCCCAGACUCCUACGGGAGGCAGCAGUGGGGAAUGUUGGACAAUGGGCGCAAGCCUGAUCCAGCCAUGCCGCGUGCAGGAUGAAGGCCUUCGGGUUGUAAACUGCUUUUGUACGGAACGAAAAGCCUUCUUUUAAUACAGGAGGGUCAUGACGGUACCGGAAGAAUAAGCACCGGCUAACUACGUG
rnacentral:rRNA from 1 species